rnacentral:rRNA from 1 species
CAGUAGCCGCGGUAAUACGAGGGGGGCAAGCGUUGUUCGGAUUUAUUGGGCGUAAAGGGUGCGUAGGCGGUUUGGCAAGUCUUGUGUGAAAUCUUCGGGCUCAACCCGAAGCCUGCACGAGAAACUACCGGGCUUGAGUAUUGGAGAGGUGAGUGGAAUUUCCGGUGUAGCGGGGAAAUGCGUAGAUAUCGGAAGGAACACCUGUGGCGAAAGCGGCUCACUGGACAAUAACUGACGCUGAUGCACGAAAGCUAGGGGAGCUAACAGGAUUAGAUACCCCGGUAGUCCCUGUCUCUUAUAC